rnacentral:tRNA from 1 species
CCAGGUGUAGUUUAACGGUAAAAUACGUGCUUUGGGAGCAUGGGUCGGAUGUUCAACUCAUCUCACUUGGACCA